UAAUGCCUAGGAAUCUGCCUGGUAGUGGGGGACAACGUUUCGAAAGGAACGCUAAUACCGCAUACGUCCUACGGGAGAAAGCAGGGGACCUUCGGGCCUUGCGCUAUCAGAUGAGCCUAGGUCGGAUUAGCUAGUUGGUGAGGUAAUGGCUCACCAAGGCGACGAUCCGUAACUGGUCUGAGAGGAUGAUCAGUCACACUGGAACUGAGACACGGUCCAGACUCCUACGGGAGGCAGCAGUGGGGAAUAUUGGACAAUGGGCGAAAGCCUGAUCCAGCCAUGCCGCGUGUGUGAAGAAGGUCUUCGGAUUGUAAAGCACUUUAAGUUGGGAGGAAGGGUUGUAGAUUAAUACUCUGCAAUUUUGACGUUACCGACAGAAUAAGCACCGGCUAACUCUGUGCCAGCAGCCGCGGUAAUACAGAGGGUGCAAGCGUUAAUCGGAAUUACUGGGCGUAAAGCGCGCGUAGGGUGGUUUGUUAAGUUGGAAUGUGAAAUCCCCGGGUCUCAACCUGGGAACUGCAUCCAAAACUGGCAAGCUAGAGUAUGGUAGAGGGUGGUGGAAUUUCCUGUGUAGCGGUGAAAUGCGUAGAUAUAGGAAGGAACACCAGUGGCGAAGGCGACCACCUGGACUGAUACUGACACUGAGGUGCGAAAGCGUGGGGAGCAAACAGGAUUAGAUACCCUGGUAGUCCACGCCGUAAACGAUGUCNACUAGCCGUUGGGAGCCUUGAGCUCUUAGUGGCGCAGCUAACGCAUUAAGUUGACCGCCUGGGGAGUACGGCCGCAAGGUUAAAACUCAAAUGAAUUGACGGGGGCCCGCACAAGCGGUGGAGCAUGUGGUUUAAUUCGAAGCAACGCGAAGAACCUUACCAGGCCUUGACAUCCAAUGAACUUUCCAGAGAUGGAUUGGUGCCUUCGGGAACAUUGAGACAGGUGCUGCAUGGCUGUCGUCAGCUCGUGUCGUGANAUGUUGGGUUAAGUCCCGUAACGAGCGCAACCCUUGUCCUUAGUUACCAGCACGUNAUGGUGGGCACUCUAAGGAGACUGCCGGUGACAAACCGGAGGAAGGUGGGGAUGACGUCAAGUCAUCAUGGCCCCUUACGGCCUGGGCUACACACGUGCUACAAUGUCGGUACAGAGGGUUGCCAAGCCGCGAGGUGGAGCUAAUCCCACAAAACCGAUCGUAGUCCGGAUCGCAGUCUGCAACUCGACUGCGUGAAGUCGGAAUCGCUAGUAAUCGCGAAUCAGAAUGUCGCGGUGAAUACGUUCCCGGGCCUUGUACACACCGCCCGUCACACCAUGGGAGUGGGUUGCACCAGAAGUAGCUAGUCUAACCUUCGGGAGGACGGUUACCACGGUGUGAUUCAUGACUGGGGUGAAGUCGUAACAAGGUAACC
rnacentral:rRNA from 1 species